CCCUGCCAGUUUUUUUGUUUUGUUUUGUUCUGUUUUGUCCUUAUCACUACCCUUGCUGCCUCCUCAAAUUAUCCAGAGCCACUGUUGUUUUCCAGAACAUUGGCAAGCACGUUGAUAGAGUGCCCACAUUGUACUGAACUCUGAGGGGAAUAGUCUCAUCCCCAUCACUCAGGUGGGGAAACUGAGGUGAGGUUAGUUUAAAGGGGGUAAGCAGUGGGUCUGGAAUUGGAGCUCUGGCUGGCUGGCUCAUGUCCGUGCUCUUCCCACCACAGCAGGAGGCCACUGGAGGCUCCAAGGGCUCUGAAAUGUUGAGAACUUCCCUGCAGGUACCAGCGAAGAGGGCAAGAACACACCACUACUUCCUUGGAUACUGUUUCCCUCCUCAGAGGGGUUUUCCGAGCUGCCCUGGGUCCUGUGAGUAAGCAGAAGUCCUCCUAGCAGGGUAUGCCCACGCUGGUUAGUGCUGCUGCAAAGAUGAGCCGAAGACCAUGAGAGACCCCCAGGUGGUCCUUCUGGGGAGAAGAAAUGGGUUUUGGCCCCAAAUCCUUCUGCUGCAUUUUUCCCCUAUCCCUGGGAAGCCAUGAGACCUCAAACCUGUGUUCCCAAGGAGGCGAGCUGCUGUUGCCAGGUGAUGAUAUGAUGUGCUUGGGGGAAGUAAGUGGCUGCCAGACAUGGCUGAGAGCUGUUGUCACUGCCGUCAAGUGCAUGUCUCCAAGCCAUAUCACACGGCGUCCCUCGAUGUGAGGCCACAUGGCAAGUGGGCCAUGGAUCUCCCUCUGCCCUUUGCAAGCACGUAAGACAGCAGAUUUUGCAGAUACCUUUGGCGCAGGGGAAUUUCCUUUGGCCAGGUCUGAAGAAAUAAAGCAGCAGGAACAGAGAACAAAGCCAACGCUUUCAAAAGACAAG
rnacentral:lncRNA from 1 species